rnacentral:tRNA from 1 species
UCAGAAAGUAGUUUAACUAGAAUAGUAGCUUUGGGAGUUACUGGUAUGAGUUUAAUUCUUGUUUUUCUGAU